GUAACUCUCCAAAGUGUUGCUGUUCCUGUGCCCUGGGCCUCCCCAUCUGUCCCGGCUGCUGCAUACGCCAGGAAGAGCAGGGUUGCAAGAGCUUUCCAAAAUUUUUAUGUACGCAUUUUUCUUCUUCUUUUAUUCCAAAUUUAGGAGGAGAGAAGAGGAAGAAAAAAAAAAAAAAAAAAAGCUCCACAAGGAAGUAAUUAAAACUUUCCAGCCUUUGUGUAGGUCUGGAAAUCCAGGAGAGCUGAUUUGCAAUUACACUUCUCAUCUCGGUGUGCCCUGGGAACACAUUUUAUAACCUCUGACAAGGAAAGCCAUGCUUUUCCCUGAAAACGCCCCCAUCUGCCCGCUCCCUGCCCGCUGCAGCGUGUGGGGCUGCAUUCCCAGGUGGGGCUGGAGCUGCUGGGGUCCUGUGCACCUGCGGGCUAUAAAUGCAGGAGGUAAGGAGGCCAGCUCCUUGCUGCAGGAUCUGCCCCAGCUGUGCAGGCAGCAGAGGAGGUGUCCUGGAUUGGGGAAGGAUGUGCCCGCAACUGGAAAGCACCAUCACAGAGAUGUGUCCCUGCACCAGCUUAGGCUCCACGUUAGGGACGUGUUGAAGAGGAGGGUAAGAGUCCUGUCCUGCUAGCCCAGCACAUCUGCAGUGGCCACAGAAUGUGCUGGGCCACCAGGAAGCUGGGUGCUGAGAGAUGAGACCCUGUGGACAAGCCCUGGGAGAUACCUUCCGCCAGGAAGAGCUCGGGCGCUGCCCAGGAGGGCGUCACUGGCCAUGGUCGUACACAGAGCCGCAUCAGGUAGAAACUCCCUGGAAGAAUUUUAAGGAAUUCAUCUGGCAGUUUUUUAAAGGUAAUUGUAGCACGGAGGUUAAGCUGGAACGUUUCUGCCUCACUGGGGUGUUUCCACCACGGAGCUGGCAGCAGGCAAGCUGCUGAGUGAGGAACUGGCGUUGCCAUAUGGAGCUCUGCUCUGGCUGCUUGCUCAAGAGAAAAUCAUACAGGGCCAGGACUUGGCAGCCCUUCUCCACAGAGACCACUUGUGUGAAUGAAUGUUACUCAUCGGCGUUACUCAGUGCUACAGGAUCUGGCCCGCAGUCAUAAAGAAGAACUGCAUUUGGCCACGGUUCAGCAAAGCACUCACAUAUGUGCUUAGUGCAAAGCACACCAGCGGUCCCAGUGACUCCCUGGGAGAAAUUUUUUGCUUUAGCACACUCCUUGCUGGAUCCACACUUCCAUUGGACUUGUUUUUUGAAUCUUAAAUGUCCCUUAGCUUCCUCGGUGGAGGUAGCCUCCACGUUGGUGUCCCCGUCGAGUUUGGCUGAGAAAGGAGCCCAACAAGAGGGGAGCGGGGGAUUCGCAAUGGAAGCAGGCUGGCAGGGCUGCAUGUUAUUUCUACAUGCUGUUUCUCUUACGAGGAGCAGGGAAGAGAGAGGAAGAUGCCUGGCCUGAACUGAAAAAGAACUGAACGCUGAAAGCCACAAACUCCUUGCUCACGUCCAACCCAAUUUUCCACAAGGUCCCUGCUGCUGCUGAGGCUGUGGCUUUAUCCAGCAGACACCAGGACCAGUGAGAAGGGCUUUCAUCCACGUGGGGGUGGCUGCCCCUUUGUCUCUGCGUUCAUCUCCAGUCCAACUCGACCCUCUGCAGCGGAGCUGCAGCAGGGACACAUUUGGCCUCCAGUAUUUACGCACACAAGUGCCAAUUUCCCCUUUCAUUUCAUAAACGGGUAGUUAAGUACAUUAGUGAGCCAUGUGAACUGGGACAGCGAUCAUACAGGCAAGCUCCAGAAAAGGAAAUACUAAUGUACAGCAAGACGAGAACAAAUUCAAAAGAAUAGAAUAAACUCUUGUUAGAUAUGAAGUGCCUUGCCA
rnacentral:lncRNA from 1 species